UGAGAAGUCAGUUUUGAAUUGAAGCUUUU
rnacentral:piRNA from 1 species